CUACACGACGCUUGUUCAUUCCGUUCAUUAUGAUUUUUGAAAGUUGACAAAAAAUGAAAAUUUCCAUUUGCUUGGUCUUGUUAAGUAUAUAUUUAAGAAGGGGCUCCAAGAAGCGAAAUAUUUUUAGAGCUAUUAUUUGAACAUUUAUGCUGUUUGCAAUGAAAAUCGAGGUUCGAAGAAUUAUGACUAAUUAACGAAUGUG
rnacentral:lncRNA from 1 species